ACGAGGAUCCAUUGGAGGGCAAGU
rnacentral:ncRNA from 5 species